CUAGCAGUAUCCUGAGUACGGCGAGACACGUGAAAUCUCGUUGGAAUCUGGGAGGACCAUCUCCCAACCCUAAAUACUCUCUAGUGACCGAUAGUGAACCAGUACCGUGAGGGAAAGGUGAAAAGCACCCCGGGAGGGGAGUGAAAUAGAACCUGAAACCGUGUGCCUACAACAAGUUCGAGCCCGUUAAUGGGUGAGAGCGUGCCUUUUGUAGAAUGAACCGGCGAGUUACGAUAUGAUGCGAGGUUAAGUUGAAGAGACGGAGCCGUAGGGAAACCGAGUCUUAAUAGGGCGAUUUAGUAUCAUGUUGUAGACCCGAAACCAUGUGACCUACCCAUGAGCAGGUUGAAGGUGAGGUAAAACUCACUGGAGGACCGAACCAGGGCACGUUGAAAAGUGCUUGGAUGACUUGUGGGUAGCGGAGAAAUUCCAAACGAACUUGGAGAUAGCUGGUUCUCUCCGAAAUAGCUUUAGGGCUAGCGUCGAUGUUAAGUCUCUUGGAGGUAGAGCACUGUUUGGGUGAGGGGUCCAUCUCGGAUUACCAAUCUCAGAUAAACUCCGAAUGCCAACGAGAUAUCAUCGGCAGUCAGACUGCGAGUGCUAAGAUCCGUAGUCGAAAGGGAAACAGCCCAGACCACCAGCUAAGGUCCCAAAAUAACUGUUAAGUGGAAAAGGAUGUGGGGUUGCACAGACAACUAGGAUGUUAGCUUAGAAGCAGCUAUUCAUUCAAAGAGUGCGUAAUAGCUCACUAGUCGAGUGACCCUGCGCCGAAAAUGUACCGGGGCUAAAACAGUUUACCGAAGCUGUGGAUGACACAAAAGUGUCAUGGUAGGAGAGCGUUCUAUGUGUGAAGAAGGUGUACCGUGAGGAGCGCUGGAACGCAUAGAAGUGAGAAUGCCGGUAUGAGUAGCGAAAGACAGGUGAGAAUCCUGUCCACCGUAAGACUAAGGUUUCCAGGGGAAGGCUCGUCCGCCCUGGGUUAGUCGGGACCUAAGGAGAGACCGAAAGGUGUAUCCGAUGGCCAACAGGUUGAUAUUCCUGUACUAGAGUAUAUAGUGAUGGAGGGACGCAGUAGGCUAACUAAACCGGACGAUUGGAAGAGUCCGGCUAAGCAGUGAGGUGUAAGAUGAGUCAAAUGCUUAUCUUUAUAACAUUGAGCUGUGAUGGGGAGCGAAUUUUAGUAGCGAAGUUAGUGAUGUCACACUGCCAAGAAAAGCUUCUAGCGUUUAAUGAUACUCUACCCGUACCGCAAACCGACACAGGUAGUCGAGGCGAGUAGCCUCAGGUGAUCGAGAGAACUCUCGUUAAGGAACUCGGCAAAAUGACCCCGUAACUUCGGGAGAAGGGGUGCUGACUUAGGUCAGCCGCAGUGAAUAGGCCCAAGCAACUGUUUAUCAAAAACACAGCUCUCUGCUAAAUCGUAAGAUGAUGUAUAGGGGGUGACGCCUGCCCGGUGCUGGAAGGUUAAGAGGAGGGUUUAGCGCAAGCGAAGAUCUGAAUUGAAGCCCCAGUAAACGGCGGCCGUAACUAUAACGGUCCUAAGGUAGCGAAAUUCCUUGUCGGGUAAGUUCCGACCCGCACGAAAGGCGUAAUGAUUUGGGCACUGUCUCAACGAGAGACUCGGUGAAAUUUUAGUACCUGUGAAGAUGCAGGUUACCCGCGACAGGACGGAAAGACCCCAUGGAGCUUUACUGCAGUUUGAUAUUGAGUAUCUGUACCACAUGUACAGGAUAGGUAGGAGCCAUUGACUUCGGGACGCCAGUUUCGAAUGAGGCGUUGUUGGGAUACUACCCUUGUGUUAUGGCUACUCUAACCCAGAUAGGUUAUCCCUAUCGGAGACAGUGUCUGACGGGCAGUUUGACUGGGGCGGUCGCCUCCUAAAGAGUAACGGAGGCGCCCAAAGGUUCCCUCAGAUUGGUUGGAAAUCAAUCGCAGAGUGUAAAGGUAUAAGGGAGCUUGACUGCGAGAGCUACAACUCGAGCAGGGACGAAAGUCGGGCUUAGUGAUCCGGUGGUACCGAAUGGAAGGGCCAUCGCUCAACGGAUAAAAGCUACCCUGGGGAUAACAGGCUUAUCUCCCCCAAGAGUUCACAUCGACGGGGAGGUUUGGCACCUCGAUGUCGGCUCGUCGCAUCCUGGGGCUGUAGUCGGUCCCAAGGGUUGGGCUGUUCGCCCAUUAAAGCGGCACGCGAGCUGGGUUCAGAACGUCGUGAGACAGUUCGGUCCCUAUCCGUCGCGGGCGUAGGAAAUUUGAGAGGAUCUGCUCCUAGUACGAGAGGACCAGAGUGGACUUACCGCUGGUGUACCAGUUGUCUUGCCAAAGGCAUCGCUGGGUAGCUAUGUAGGGAAGGGAUAAGCGCUGAAAGCAUCUAAGUGCGAAGCCCCCCUCAAGAUGAGAUUUCCCAUGAUUUUAUAUCAGUAAGAGCCCUGAGAGAUGAUCAGGUAGAUAGGUUAGGAGUGUAAGUGUAGCGAUACAUGUAGCGGACUAAUACUAAUAGCUCGAGGACUUAUCCAA
rnacentral:rRNA from 1 species